rnacentral:rRNA from 1 species
GACGAACGCUGGCGGCGUGCCUAAUACAUGCAAGUCGAACGCAGUGGGGACGGGUGAGUAACACGUGGGUAACCUCCCAUCAGAGGGGAUAACACUUGGCAAAAGGUGCUAAACCGAUACUGGUUGAUGGACCCGCGGUGCAUUAGCUAGUUGGUGGGGUAACGGCUAACCAAGGCCACGAUGAAUAGCCGGUCGAGGAGGGGGAUCGGCCAGACUGGGACUGAGCCACGGCCCAGACUCCUACGGGAGGCAGCAGUAGGGAAGAUUCGGCAAUGGACGAAAGUCGGACCGAGCAACGCCGCGUGAGUGAAGAAGGUUUGCGGAUCGUAAAACUCUGUUGGUAGAGAAGCGGUAUCUAACCAGAAAGCCACGGCUAACUACGUGCCAGCAGUCGCGGUAAUAC